rnacentral:rRNA from 1 species
UACGUAGGGUGCGAGCGUUGUCCGGAAUUAUUGGGCGUAAAGGGCUCGUUGGCGGUCUGUCGCGUCGGGAGUGAAAACUCAGGGCUUAACCCUGAGCCUGCUUCCGAUACGGGCAGACUAGAGGUAUGCAGGGGAGAAUGGAAUUCCUGGUGUAGCGGUGAAAUGCGCAGAUAUCAGGAGGAACACCAGUGGCGAAGGCGGUUCUCUGGGCAUUACCUGACGCUGAGGAGCGAAAGUGUGGGGAGCGAACAGG